rnacentral:tmRNA from 1 species
GGGGGUGUUUUGGAUUCGACCUCUGGUUAGAGUGUGUAGUGGCAUGUCGAGGAUGAUGGUUGGCCUCGCUAAAAUUCCAUCAAAACAAAAUUAAACGGCACAUUUGAAGAAAUGCCUCUAGCAGCUUAAAGAGCAGCUACGUUCCCUCACCAACGCCUGCUAGGCGAACGGAGCGACGACAGCAGGUAUAGUUAAAGAGGGUGCUCUUUCCUUUUUAACCGUACUUCAAGAGAGGGUAAGCCGGUGCUUAAGCGCGCGUUUUCGCGUAACACCAGCGAGAUUAAUGAUAACGCUAAACAUGUAGAGGCUACACGUGAAGAUCAGAGGGACGCGGGUUCGAUCCCCGCCACCUCCACCA